rnacentral:rRNA from 1 species
GACGAACGCUGGCGGCGUGCUUAACACAUGCAAGUCGAGCGGUAAGGCCCUUUCGGGGGUACACGAGCGGCGAACGGGUGAGUAACACGUGGGUGACCUGCCCUCAGCUCUGGGAUAAGCCUGGGAAACCGGGUCUAAUACUGGAUAUGACUCCAUGACGCAUGUUGUGGGGUGGAAAGCCUUGUGCGGCUGAGGAUGGGCCCGCGGCCUAUCAGCUUGUUGGUGGGGUGACNGGCCUACCAAGGCCGACGACGGGUAGCCGGCCUGAGAGGGCGACCGGCCACACUGGGACUGAGACACGGCCCAGACUCCUACGGGAGGCAGCAGUGGGGAAUCUCGCGCAAU